UAUGACCAUAUCACGUUGAAACUCUAGUUACCAUAUGAUCAUCGAAGUUAAGCGAUGUCGAGCCUGGUCAGUACCUAGAUGGGUGACCGUUUGUGAGCAUCAGGUGCAGUA